rnacentral:rRNA from 1 species
UAUUGGGCGUAAAGAGCUCGUAGGCGGUUUGUCGCGUCUGUCGUGAAAGUCCGGGGCUUAACCCCGGAUCUGCGGUGGGUACGGGCAGACUAGAGUGCAGUAGGGGAGACUGGAAUUCCUGGUGUAGCGGUGGAAUGCGCAGAUAUCAGGAGGAACACCGAUGGCGAAGGCAGGUCUCUGGGCUGUAACUGACGCUGAGGAGCGAAAGCAUGGGGAGCGAACAGGAUUAGAUACCCUGGUAGUCCACGCCGUAAACGGUGGGUACUAGGUGUGGGUUUCCUUCCUUGGGAUCCGUGCCGUAGCUAACGCAUUAAGUACCCCGCCUGGGGAGUACGGCCGCAAGGCUAAAACUCAAAGAAAUUGACGGGGGCCCGCACAAGCGGUAAUCGAA